rnacentral:rRNA from 1 species
UGGGGAAUUUUGGACAAUGGGCGAAAGCCUGAUCCAGCAAUGCCGCGUGUGUGAAGAAGGCCUUCGGGUUGUAAAGCACUUUUGUCCGGAAAGAAAUGGCUCUGGUUAAUACCUGGGGUCGAUGACGGUACCGGAAGAAUAAGGACCGGCUAACUACGUGCCAGCAGCCGCGGUAAUACGUAGGGUCCAAGCGUUAAUCGGAAUUACUGGGCGUAAAGCGUGCGCAGGCGGUUGUGCAAGACCGAUGUGAAAUCCCCGAGCUUAACUUGGGAAUUGCAUUGGUGACUGCACGGCUAGAGUGCGUCAGAGGGGGGUAGAAUUCCACGUGUAGCAGUGAAAUGCGUAGAGAUGUGGAGGAACACCGAUGGCGAAGGCAG